UAUUGAUCUUUCCGUUUCAUCUUUAUUUCUCAUUACUUUCUUCAAUUCAAAGAUUCAUGUUUUAGCCUUUUUGUUUUCUAAAGACUUAGGUAUUUCUAUUUUUUUUAAUACAUGGAUUUAUUGUAGUUUUGUUAUCCGAAGUAUACGUUAUCUUCUUGUACCCGUCAUAUCAUGUCUAAAUAUUUGAAAUAAAUAGGAAAGUGGAAAUUAAAUUUAG
rnacentral:lncRNA from 1 species